AUUGAACGCUGGCGGCAGGCUCAACACAUGCAAGUCGAGCGGGGUGAUGGUGCUUGCACUAUCACUUAGCGGCGGACGGGUGAGUAAUGCUUAGGAAUCUGCCUAUUAGUGGGGGACAACAUCUCGAAAGGGAUGCUAAUACCGCAUACGUCCUACGGGAGAAAGCAGGGGAUCACUUGUGACCUUGCGCUAAUAGAUGAGCCAAAGUCGGAUUAGCGAGCUGGUGGGGUAAAGGCCUACCAAGGCGACGAUCUGUAGCGGGUCUGAGAGGAUAAGCCGCCACACUGGGACUGAGACACGGCCCAGACUCCUACGGGAGGCAGCAGUGGGGAAUAUUGGACAAUGGGGGGAACCCUGAUCCAGCCAUGCCGCGUGUGUGAAGAAGGCCUUAUGGUUGUAAAGCACUUUAAGCGAGGAGGAGGCUCUUUUGGUUAAUACCCAAGAUGAGUGGACGUUACUCGCAGAAUAAGCACCGGCUAACUCUGUGCCAGCAGCCGCAGUAA
rnacentral:rRNA from 1 species